CAGUCGCCGCGGUAAUACGUAGGUCCCGAGCGUUGUCCGGAUUUAUUGGGCGUAAAGCGAGCGCAGGCGGUUAGAUAAGUCUGAAGUUAAAGGCUGUGGCUUAACCAUAGUACGCUUUGGAAACUGUUUAACUUGAGUGCAAGAGGGGAGAGUGGAAUUCCAUGUGUAGCGGUGAAAUGCGUGGAUAUAUGGAGGAACACCGGUGCGAAAGCGGCUCUCUGGCUUGUAACUGACGCUGAGGCUCGAAAGCGUGGGGCGCAACCAGGAUUAGAUACCCCUGUAGUCCCUGUCUCUUAUACAC
rnacentral:rRNA from 1 species